UACGGAGGGUGCGAGCGUUGUCCGGAAUCACUGGGCGUAAAGGGCGCGUAGGCGGCCGUGUAAGUCACUUGUGAAAUCCCGGGGCUCAACUCCGGGGCUGCAGGUGAGACUGCGUGGCUAGAGCACGGUAGAGGCGAGUGGAAUUCCCCGGUGUAGCGGUGGAAUGCGUAGAUAUCGGGAAGAACACCGGUGGCGAAGGCGGCUCGCUGGGCCGUUGCUGACGCUGAGGCGCGAAAGCGUGGGGAGCAAACAGG
rnacentral:rRNA from 1 species